AACGAACGCUGGCGGCAGGCUUAACACAUGCAAGUCGAACGCAUCGCAAGAUGAGUGGCAGACGGGUGAGUAACGCGUGGGAAUCUACCCAGUUCUACGGAACAACAGUUGGAAACGACUGCUAAUACCGUAUACGCCCUACGGGGGAAAGAUUUAUCGGAAUUGGAUGAGCCCGCGUAAGAUUAGCUAGUUGGUGGGGUAAUGGCCUACCAAGGCGACGAUCUUUAGCUGGUCUGAGAGGAUGAUCAGCCACACUGGGACUGAGACACGGCCCAGACUCCUACGGGAGGCAGCAGUGGGGAAUAUUGGACAAUGGGCGCAAGCCUGAUCCAGUCAUGCCGCGUGAGUGAUGAAGGCCUUAGGGUUGUAAAGCUCUUUCACCGAUGAAGAUAAUGACGGUAGUCGGAGAAGAAGCCCCGGCUAACUUCGUGCCAGCCGCCGCGGUAAAAC
rnacentral:rRNA from 1 species